rnacentral:rRNA from 1 species
UCGAGAAUCUUCGGCAAUGGGCGCAAGCCUGACCGAGCGACGCCGCGUGUGGGAUGAAGGCCCUUGGGUUGUAAACCACUGUCAGAGGGGAUGAAAUGCGGGAGAGCUAUCUCUUCCGUUUGACAUAGCCUCAGAGGAAGCACGGGCUAAGUUCGUGCCAGCAGCCGCGGUAAUACGAACUGUGCAAACGUUAUUCGGAAUCACUGGGCUUACAGGGUGCGUAGGCGGUCUGUUAAGUAGGGUGUGAAAGCCCCCGGCUCAACCGGGGAAUUGCGCCCUAAACUGGCGGACUGGAGUGAGAUAGGGGUGUGCGGAACUUCCGGUGGAGCGGUGAAAUGUGUUGAUAUCGGAAGGAACGCCGGUGGCGAAAGCGGCACACUGGAUCUCAACUGACGCUGAGGCACGAAAGCCAGGGGAGCGAACGG